CGAUACAGGGUGACAGCCCCGUACACAAAAAUGCACAUGCUGUGAGCUCGAUGAGUAGGGCGGGACACGUGGUAUCCUGUCUGAAUAUGGGGGGACCAUCCUCCAAGGCUAAAUACUCCUGACUGACCGAUAGUGAACCAGUACCGUGAGGGAAAGGCGAAAAGAACCCCGGCGAGGGGAGUGAAAAAGAACCUGAAACCGUGUACGUACAAGCAGUGGGAGCACAGAGCAAUCUGUGUGACUGCGUACCUUUUGUAUAAUGGGUCAGCGACUUAUAUUCUGUAGCAAGGUUAACCGAAUAGGGGAGCCGAAGGGAAACCGAGUCUUAACUGGGCGUUAAGUUGCAGGGUAUAGACCCGAAACCCGGUGAUCUAGCCAUGGGCAGGUUGAAGGUUGGGUAACACUAACUGGAGGACCGAACCGACUAAUGUUGAAAAAUUAGCGGAUGACUUGUGGCUGGGGGUGAAAGGCCAAUCAAACCGGGAGAUAGCUGGUUCUCCCCGAAAGCUAUUUAGGUAGCGCCUCGUGAAUUCAUCUCCGGGGGUAGAGCACUGUUUCGGCAAGGGGGUCAUCCCGACUUACCAACCCGAUGCAAACUGCGAAUACCGGAGAAUGUUAUCACGGGAGACACACGGCGGGUGCUAACGUCCGUCGUGAAGAGGGAAACAACCCAGACCGCCAGCUAAGGUCCCAAAGUCAUGGUUAAGUGGGAAACGAUGUGGGAAGGCCCAGACAGCCAGGAUGUUGGCUUAGAAGCAGCCAUCAUUUAAAGAAAGCGUAAUAGCUCACUGGUCGAGUCGGCCUGCGCGGAAGAUGUAACGGGGCUAAACCAUGCACCGAAGCUGCGGCAGCGACACUGUGUGUUGUUGGGUAGGGGAGCGUUCUGUAAGCCUGUGAAGGUGUGCUGUGAGGCAUGCUGGAGGUAUCAGAAGUGCGAAUGCUGACAUAAGUAACGAUAAAGCGGGUGAAAAGCCCGCUCGCCGGAAGACCAAGGGUUCCUGUCCAACGUUAAUCGGGGCAGGGUGAGUCGACCCCUAAGGCGAGGCCGAAAGGCGUAGUCGAUGGGAAACAGGUUAAUAUUCCUGUACUUGGUGUUACUGCGAAGGGGGGACGGAGAAGGCUAUGUUGGCCGGGCGACGGUUGUCCCGGUUUAAGCGUGUAGGCUGGUUUUCCAGGCAAAUCCGGAAAAUCAAGGCUGAGGCGUGAUGACGAGGCACUACGGUGCUGAAGCAACAAAUGCCCUGCUUCCAGGAAAAGCCUCUAAGCAUCAGGUAACAUCAAAUCGUACCCCAAACCGACACAGGUGGUCAGGUAGAGAAUACCAAGGCGCUUGAGAGAACUCGGGUGAAGGAACUAGGCAAAAUGGUGCCGUAACUUCGGGAGAAGGCACGCUGAUAUGUAGGUGAAGUCCCUCGCGGAUGGAGCUGAAAUCAGUCGAAGAUACCAGCUGGCUGCAACUGUUUAUUAAAAACACAGCACUGUGCAAACACGAAAGUGGACGUAUACGGUGUGACGCCUGCCCGGUGCCGGAAGGUUAAUUGAUGGGGUCAGCGCAAGCGAAGCUCUUGAUCGAAGCCCCGGUAAACGGCGGCCGUAACUAUAACGGUCCUAAGGUAGCGAAAUUCCUUGUCGGGUAAGUUCCGACCUGCACGAAUGGCGUAAUGAUGGCCAGGCUGUCUCCACCCGAGACUCAGUGAAAUUGAACUCGCUGUGAAGAUGCAGUGUACCCGCGGCAAGACGGAAAGACCCCGUGAACCUUUACUAUAGCUUGACACUGAACAUUGAGCCUUGAUGUGUAGGAUAGGUGGGAGGCUUUGAAGUGUGGACGCCAGUCUGCAUGGAGCCGACCUUGAAAUACCACCCUUUAAUGUUUGAUGUUCUAACGUGGACCCGUGAUCCGGGUUGCGGACAGUGUCUGGUGGGUAGUUUGACUGGGGCGGUCUCCUCCUAAAGAGUAACGGAGGAGCACGAAGGUUGGCUAAUCCUGGUCGGACAUCAGGAGGUUAGUGCAAUGGCAUAAGCCAGCUUGACUGCGAGCGUGACGGCGCGAGCAGGUGCGAAAGCAGGUCAUAGUGAUCCGGUGGUUCUGAAUGGAAGGGCCAUCGCUCAACGGAUAAAAGGUACUCCGGGGAUAACAGGCUGAUACCGCCCAAGAGUUCAUAUCGACGGCGGUGUUUGGCACCUCGAUGUCGGCUCAUCACAUCCUGGGGCUGAAGUAGGUCCCAAGGGUAUGGCUGUUCGCCAUUUAAAGUGGUACGCGAGCUGGGUUUAGAACGUCGUGAGACAGUUCGGUCCCUAUCUGCCGUGGGCGCUGGAGAACUGAGGGGGGCUGCUCCUAGUACGAGAGGACCGGAGUGGACGCAUCACUGGUGUUCGGGUUGUCAUGCCAAUGGCACUGCCCGGUAGCUAAAUGCGGAAGAGAUAAGUGCUGAAAGCAUCUAAGCACGAAACUUGCCCCGAGAUGAG
rnacentral:rRNA from 1 species